rnacentral:rRNA from 1 species
AUUGAACGCUGGCGGCAUGCUUUACACAUGCAAGUCGAACGGCAGCACGGGGGCAACCCUGGUGGCGAGUGGCGAACGGGUGAGUAAUACAUCGGAACGUACCCAGUUGUGGGGGAUAACCUACCGAAAGGUAGGCUAAUACCGCAUGAGCUCGAGAGAGGAAAGCGGGGGACCGUAAGGCCUCGCGCGACUGGAGCGGCCGAUGUCCGAUUAGCUAGUUGGUGGGGUAAAGGCUUACCAAGGCGACGAUCGGUAGCUGGUCUGAGAGGAUGAUCAGCCACACUGGGACUGAGACACGGCCCAGACUCCUACGGGAGGCAGCAGUGGGGAAUUUUGGACAAUGGGGGCAACCCUGAUCCAGCCAUGCCGCGUGAGUGAAGAAGGCCUUCGGGUUGUAAAGCUCUUUCGGUGGGAACGAAACGGGCGCGGUGAAUAUCCGCGUUCAAUGACGGUACUCACAGAAGAAGCACCGGCUAACUACGUGCCAGCAGCCGCAGUAAAAC